CUGAGCUAAAGCAGAUGUGAGCAGGUGGCAGUGCAAGGAGCAGCUGGGGCUGGUGGCCCCGCAGGAGCUGUCCCCGGGGUCACCUGCAGCUGUGGGGCUGCAGGGCUGGAGCAGCAGGGCACAGGCAGGAGCUGCAGUGCCUGUGGUGAGUGAUGGAGUGGGCUCACUGCAGGGAAUGCCAAUGAGCUCAUGCUGCAAGGCAAGGGGAAGCAAAGGCAGCACCAAGAACGAUUCCAGGCAGCACCCACAGGGCUCAGGGCUCCUUCCAGUAAUGCUUCCACUGGGGCUGCCCCUGCCUCAACAUCCCCUCUCCUGCUGAGGAUGGGCUCAGCCCUUUCUCUCCCAGGGCAGUUCCCAGCUUUUCCUGCCUGCUUUGCUGACAGCACAACUCCAGUGCCUUUGCUCUGAUGUCUCCUCUCUCCCAGCCCAUAUUCCCCCUCAUUUCUCUCCCUCUGGAGCUCCCUGCACACCCAAAAGCUGCCUGUUUCAGAGUGCCCACACCCAUUUCUCACCCAUUUUUUGUUGUACCAGCCAUCACUUCACAGCUGGGUCACACACAGGGAGUGCUGCUGCUCAGGACAGGCAGAAAACCCAACCUGGGUGUGUGAACACCUGGGAUUUCUCCAGCAAAAGCAGAGGCUGUGGAACCAGGGUUCCACAGGGCAGACAGAGGCACCAGCCCAGCUCCCAGCAGCUCCAAGCAGCCUCUGGAAGUGCUCCUGCCCUUUGUGCAGGGAAGGGGACACAGCCCCAGCCCAACCUGGGAUUCUGCCAGGAGCACAGGAGCUCUCAGUGCCAAAUUGGCUGCUGUGGUUCUUCUAAUGUGGUUUGUGGCUUUGCUAAUGUGGACUCCUCUGGGGAUAUUCUCAGUGUCUCAAGCAAGGAGCUGGACUUGCAGCUCUGGGGACUGGAAAUGGGAUGGGCACAGCCAGGGCUCUGUGCCCUGCACUGGCAGAGGAGCUCCCCCUUCCCUUCCCUUCCCUUCCCUUCCCUUCCCUUCCCUUCCCUUCCCUUCCCUUCCCUUCCCUUCCCUUCCCUUCCCUUCCCUUCCCUUCCCUUCC
rnacentral:lncRNA from 1 species